rnacentral:tRNA from 1 species
CAAAGUGUAGCUUAAAUUAAAGCACUUGGUCUACACCCAAGAGAUUUCAUACUAAGGAACACUUUGA